AACGAACGCUGGCGGCAGGCUUAACACAUGCAAGUCGAGCGCCCCGCAAGGGGAGCGGCAGACGGGUGAGUAACGCGUGGGAACGUACCCUUUGCUACGGAAUAGCUCCGGGAAACUGGAAUUAAUACCGUAUGUGCCCUACGGGGGAAAGAUUUAUCGGCAAAGGAUCGGCCCGCGUUGGAUUAGCUAGUUGGUGGGGUAAUGGCCAACCAAGGCGACGAUCCAUAGAAGGUCUGAGAGGAUGAUCAGCCACAUUGGGACUGAGACACGGCCCAAACUCCUACGGGAGGCAGCAGUGGGGAAUAUUGGACAAUGGGCGCAAGCCUGAUCCAGCCAUGCCGCGUGAGUGAUGAAGGCCUUAGGGUUGUAAAGCUCUUUCACCGGAGAAGAUAAUGACGGUAUCCGGAGAAGAAGCCCCGGCUAACUUCGUGCCAGCAGCCGCGGUAAUAC
rnacentral:rRNA from 1 species